UACGUAGGGACCAAGCGUUGUUCGGAUUUACUGGGCGUAAAGGGCGCGUAGGCGGCGCGGUAAGUCACUUGUGAAAUCUCUGAGCUUAACUCAGAACGGGCAAGUGAUACUGCAGUGCUAGAGUGUGGAAGGGGCAAUCGGAAUUCUUGGUGUAGCGGUGAAAUGCGUAGAUAUCAAGAGGAACACCUGAGGUGAAGACGGGUUGCUGGGCCAACACUGACGCUGAUGCGCGAAAGCCAGGGGAGCAAACGGG
rnacentral:rRNA from 1 species